GUGUGGACUCGGCGUGUCGAAGGGAACCCGGAUUUUAGCUCCAGCUUUGUGGUUCUUUUCGGGGGGAGAAAUUGCUCACUGAACCUAGCUUGAGAUUGGCUGGCAGCUGAAUCCCUGGGGAUGUGCCCGUCGCUAUGCAACUGUGCUGGCAUUAUUGUUGAUCAUACUAUGCUUUGUUUAUUAAGCCCUGUAGGAAUUAUGAAGAGGAGGCUCCACCCCCUUCUAAGAUCAUGAAAACACAGAGCAAAAAGAAGUGCAAUCCCGUCUCUGCCCAACAGGUGGUACAGUACUCUCCUUCAGUCUUUGCCACCAUUUCUCAGACCACUGCCAGGAAAUCUUCCCUUCACAGAUGAAAAAAUGUCCAUGAGGUGAUGCAAUCUGUCCAGGAUCACACAGCCAGUCGGUGUCAGAGUCUGUGGAGAAAAAGUGAGAUUCCUCUUUUGGUCCCUUUUCCAAUCCUUGCUGCAGAGUAACCUGCUCAUACGCGCACAUCGCACAUCGUGCAGGGUCUGGUUUGUAUGCAUUGGUGCUACAAGUGGCUGUUAUCUUCCUGCGCCUUCCAAGGAGGUCAUGUUCUGCAACUCGCUUUUCCUACUUAGCCCCAAGACUUAGAAUCUUUACCAUUUGGGUUUUGAUUGAUUUGAUGAUUGAUUGAUUUUUGUUGUUUUUCAAAACAGGGAUUCUCUGUGUAGCCCUGGCUGUCCUGGAACUCUUUAUGUAGACCAGGCUGGCCUCCAACUCAGAUAUUUGCCUGCCUCUACCUCCUAAGUGUUAAGACUAAAGGUGUGCGCCACCGCGGUAAGAACACUGACUGCCCUUCCACAGGUCCCGAGUUCACCUUCCAGCAACAUGGUGGCUCAAACCAUCUGUGUAGCCUCCCCCAGCCUUGAGCAGGAUGAUUCAGACCUAUGCUGCCACUGUGAAUGAGACUACUUGGGGUGGAGCCUCUGACCUAGAUGGUUCUAUUGCUCUGUUACCUGUGGCUGUUCUUCUCCAAGACACUGCUACCUGCUGAGAGGCUGAACCUGCCUUCCUGAGAUAGCCAGCAACCUGGCAAUUGACCUUACUGCCAACUAAUGCUGUCAGCCUAAUUGCUUACAGGCUGGUGACAGGCAUCAAGAGUGGAUCAGCAGGGGAUGGGCUUUCCCCCUUUAUAAGCACAGACUCUUAGUAAACAUUGGGCUUUGGUC
rnacentral:lncRNA from 1 species